AUCAGUAUUCAUGUGUGAUAAAUCUUGUUUCUGAAGGUUGUGAUGAUUAGUUUCAUCUUUGUUUCUGAGUAAUUGGUUCCACAUUGUGAUAUUUUCCUGAAUAUAUGUGUUGCACUGAUCAGUUUUUGACCCUUGAUCGUUUGCUCUUGCAUAGUAUAAUAUAACCCUCAAAUUUGAUCCCAGCUGAUAAUAAACUUGGUUUAUGACCUUAGGUAGUCAAUUAGGGUCAAUUAUUGACCAAAUAGAUAGGCACCAGGAUGUAACACAUAUAGUCAGUAAUUAAGAAAGAAAGACAUGAGUAUUAAGGGUAUUUGAACAUGAGAAUCUUGUAACAAACUCCUCGAACAUUCUAGUGAAGGGUCAAAAUAUAAUCUCUGUUAAUUCUACCUCAAAAAGAAGACAGGGGUAUUAAGGGUAUUUGAAUAGAUAAUUUGUAACAAACUCCUGGAACAUUCUAGUAAAGGGUCAAAAUACAAUUUAUGUUAAUUCUGCCUCAAAACUUGAGGCAAGUUAGAAAAUCAAGGAUCAUUUAGGCAAAUCUGAAAAAUGGGUAAGGGACUAAAAGGAAAACAAAAAGAUUUUGUUGCCCUAAGGUUUGGUUAUAAAAGAGGCGUCUGAAAGAAAAAAAAGGGUGAGAGAUACAGAGGGAUAUAGAUUGAGAGAUACACUUUAUAUAUACAUUCUAAGAGGACAAUUUUAGAUAUACAGGGAUACGCUUUAGAUAUACAUUCAGAUAUUUUUUAAACCAAUUUCCUGAAAUCCUAAGUUUUCUGGCAAAUCUUCUAUAAUAAUCAGAAUUCUUCUCAUUAUAAGUUGAAGAUGAAUUGAGGCAUAUACAUUUUGAGCUGUUAGAGAAACCUGUGUCGAUAUUUGCUUCUCAAAAUUUCCUGAGUUCCUGGGUUAGCUAGUAGAUUUGACUGUUGUUGCUUGCUUGCUUCUCCUUUAACUUGCUCAUAGGUUCUCUUUUGCUGAAAUUCCAAGUACCAACUCUUACCCAGAAAGUUUGUAAAUGCACAGUUGUAUAUGUAUAUUCAUGUCCGACAAUGAAGACC
rnacentral:lncRNA from 1 species